GAUGAAGAACGUAGCGAAAUGCGAUAAGUAGUGUGAAUUGCAGAAUUCCGUGAAUCAUCGAAUCUUUGAACGCACAUUGCGCCUUCUGGUAUUCUGAGGAGCAUGCCUGUUUGAGUGUCAUUAAAUUCUCAACUACACUGACUUUGAAUUGGUGUGGCUUGGAUUUGGGGGGAAAAUUGUUGUGGGCUUUUUGUAUAGUCUGCUCCCCUGAAAUUGAUUAGCGGUACCUUUGUGGAACUGUCUACAGGUGUGAUAAUUAUCUACAUCUUAGACAUCUGCUGGAAUGCUGCUUUCUAAACCUUACUUGUAUUGACAAUCUUGACCUCAAAUCAGGUAGGACUACCCGCUGAACUUAAGCAUAUCAAUAAGCGGAGGA
rnacentral:misc_RNA from 1 species